UCAGACUGCUAGCUGCAGCUUUACAGAUGGUGCAUUGGUUCAGCAUCAGGAGUGGGAUGGGAAGGAAAGCACAAUAACAAGAAAAUUGAAAGAUGGGAAAUUAGUGGUGGACUGUGUCAUGAACAAUGUCACCUGUACUCGGAUCUAUGAAAAAGUAGAAUAAAAAUUCCAUCAUCACUUUGGACAGGAAUUAACUAAGAGAAUGACCAAGCUCAGUUCAAUGAGCAAAUCUCCAUACUGUUUCUUUUUUUUUUUUCAUUACUGUGUUCAAUUAUCUUUAUCACAAACAUUUUACGUGUAGCUGUUUCAAAGUGUGUUGGAUUAAUUAGGAUCAUCCCUUGGUUAAUAAAGAAAUGUGUUUGUGCUAAUA